UACGUAGGGAGCAAGCGUUGUCCGGAAUCAUUGGGCGUAAAGCGCGCGUAGGCGGCCCUGUAAGUCCGUUGUGAAAGUCAAAGGCUCAACCUUUGAAAGCCGAUGGAUACUGCAGGGCUAGAGUCCGGAAGAGGCGAGUGGAAUUCCUGGUGUAGCGGUGGAAUGCGCAGAUAUCAGGAGGAACACCAAUAGCGAAGGCAGCUCGCUGGGACGGUACUGACGCUAAGGCGCGAAAGCGUGGGUAGCAAACAGG
rnacentral:rRNA from 1 species